UACGUAGGGUGCGAGCGUUGUCCGGAAUUACUGGGCGUAAAGAGCUCGUAGGUGGUUUGUCGCGUUGUUCGUGAAAACUCACAGCUCAACUGUGGGCGUGCGGGCGAUACGGGCAGACUGGAGUACUGCAGGGGAGACUGGAAUUCCUGGUGUAGCGGUGGAAUGCGCAGAUAUCAGGAGGAACACCGGUGGCGAAGGCAGCUCGCUGGAACGGUACUGACGCUGAGGCGCGAAAGCGUGGGGAGCGAUCCGG
rnacentral:rRNA from 1 species